rnacentral:misc_RNA from 1 species
GAUGAAGAACGCAGCGAAAUGCGAUAAGUAAUGUGAAUUGCAGAAUUCAGUGAAUCAUCGAAUCUUUGAACGCUCAUUGCGACCCCCAGUAUUCUGGCGGGCAUGCCUGUUCGAGCGUCAUUUCAACCAUCAAGCCCUGCUUGUGUUGGGGUCCUGCGGCUGCCCGCAGGCCCUGAAAACCAGUGGCGGGCUCGCUAGUCACACCGAGCGCAGUAGCACAUCUCGCUCAGGGCGUGCGGCGGGCUCCAGCCGUUAAAGCACCCACCUUUCGCAAGGUUGACCUCGGAUCAGGUAGGAAUACCCGCUGAACUUAAGCAUAUCAAUAAGCGGAGGA